CUAUAAUUGCUCCUCAGCUAAAAUAGCUGCAGACAGUCCCAGAACCUUCCUGACCAAACUUUAAAACAGUCAGAGCAGCAGUUGCAAAACUAUGGCUCUUUUGUCUCCUCCCAUGUUCCAGCCUAAUUGGGUAAACUUUAUCACAUCAAGAACCCUCAUAGCAAAAGUUUUGGUAAUGUAGAUUUCAGUUUCUCAAUCCCCACAUUACUGACAAACACAAAAGAAGGAAGAGAGGGCCGCCACAGUCUCCCCCAAUGAGUCCUGCCAAGCACUGCAUUUUGUCUUAUAGAAAGACCAGGGAGAUUUUGACAUUUUCUAUUAGUGUCAAUCCAGAAGCCAGGUACAGUGUAAAUAAGGUAUAAUAUCUGGAAUAAUUAGAAAGAAGUAUGUUCUCCUUCCAAACUCAAAUGUCAGCAACAGAACCAGGUGGCUGCAGAAUUGAGAGAGGCAGCUGGUCAGUAUUGGACAGAAGCCAGGUGAAUGCAGAGUAGCUGUGAAAGAAAGAAACAGAUUUUGUUUCCACACUCAUUAGGAAAUUCCAUUUGGAGGUCUAGCAGCUGUACAUGGUGAUAAGAAACCUUGAAAUUGUUUUCUUUUAAAAUCUAUAAUAAGUUGAAUUUAUACAAUCUAUCUAAGAGAUUUUCACUUGUUUGGCUUGGGCACUGAAUUUUAAUUGAGUCUUGGGUCUUAUUUUCUGGCUCAUUUCCUUUGUCAUUUCAUUUUCACUUUUAUCUCCUUAGAACAUUCCUGAGUACAAAAGAACAUUAUUCUAUACUUGUCAUUAAAUAUUGUCAGCUACUACUUCAAGUCACACAAAAGAAGAGCCAGAUGAAAUGCACCCCGCUCCAAAUUCCUGCUUGGAUGGACAGGGAGAAGAGCAUAGGUAACAUUCACUUCUGACAGCACUAAAAAGGUCAAUAGAUUCUUCUUCCUUGGGGAAUAUUAAUUACAUAUUACUGGAUCCAUGAAUCCUAGGAGAGCAUGAACUAUAUCAUCCUUCAGUCCUACAAAGUAGAUUGAAUAGAACACUGUGCUGUAAUCAUUGCAAAAUGGCCCUAAUUCUUCACCCCUCUCUAUAUCAAUAUUCUUUGCCACAUAACUUUAUGGUGUCCUUCUGCUCUGACUCUAUACUCAGUCAUUGGUUUGCUUUGGUUAGUAGGAAAUCAGCAACUGUGACCAAAGUGAGGUUUGAAAGAUACUCUUUGAGUUGGGCUUGCCUACUGUUACACCAUUGCCCUUGUUUAAGAACAUGCCAGGGCGAGACUGCUAGAAUACAAAAGGCACAAGGAGCAGUGCUGGCUCAGUGAAGUCAUCCCAGUUAAAGCUAUCCUAGAUCAGCUAACAACUAGACAGCCCUACGUAAGUCUACGAGCCUGACAGUAACAGCAGCGCUGCCUAGAUGAUCUUCAGCUGAUGCAGAUACACAGCCAUGAAGACAGAAACAGCCUGAAAGAAUAAAGACGCCAUGAAGAGAAACCGCAAUGAAAGGAAGCAUGUUCAAAUGGCACCCAUGCCCCUGCUACAAAUACUUCUGAUAAAUUUAUCUUAUUACUGACAGUGGUUCAAGUUGUUUUUAUCACUUAGAAAAUGCACUAGCUAACGCACAAUUAAAUAUCACAGUUGUGAAAAGUA